rnacentral:rRNA from 1 species
UACAGAGGAUGCAAGCGUUAUCCGGAAUGAUUGGGCGUAAAGCGCACGUAGGCGGCUUGUUAAGUCAGGGGUGAAAUCCUGGAGCUCAACUCCAGAACUGCCUUUGAUACUGGCGAGCUUGAGUUCGGGAGAGGUGAGUGGAACUGCGAGUGUAGAGGUGAAAUUCGUAGAUAUUCGCAAGAACACCAGUGGCGAAGGCGGCUCACUGGCCCGAUACUGACGCUGAGGUGCGAAAGCGUGGGGAGCAAACAGG